rnacentral:rRNA from 1 species
GAUGAACGCUGGCGGCGUGCCUAAUACAUGCAAGUCGAGCGAACGGACGAGAAGCUUGCUUCUCUGAUGUUAGCGGCGGACGGGUGAGUAACACGUGGAUAACCUACCUAUAAGACUGGGAUAACUUCGGGAAACCGGAGCUAAUACCGGAUAAUAUUUUGAACCGCAUGGUUCAAAAGUGAAAGACGGUCUUGCUGUCACUUAUAGAUGGAUCCGCGCUGCAUUAGCUAGUUGGUAAGGUAACGGCUUACCAAGGCAACGAUGCAUAGCCGACCUGAGAGGGGGAUCGGCCACACUGGAACUGAGACACGGUCCAGACUCCUACGGGAGGCAGCAGUAGGGAAUCUUCCGCAAUGGGCGAAAGCCUGACGGAGCAACGCCGCGUGAGUGAUGAAGGUCUUCGGAUCGUAAAACUCUGUUAUUAGGGAAGAACAUAUGUGUAAGUAACUGUGCACAGCUUGACGGUACCUAAUCAGAAAGCCACGGCUAACUACGUG